GGAGGAGGAGGAGGAGGAGGGGGAUAAUAAUUAAAGGAAAAACGCGCCCCGCGCCGCCGGGCCCCUUGGCCUUUUAUGGAAGCGAAGGACGGAGUAAGUGGGGGCCGCUCCAACAUCCGGGACUCGCCGGGGGGCGGCUCGGCUGGACUCGGCUCGGCGGCACGGGAGAUCGCCGCGGGGCGCAGCCGCUGGACGCGGGGUUCCCCUCACCCCAGCGCGGCCGUAGGGGUCCCGCUGCGUGCGGGAGGGGAGCGCGGGAUCCCACCCGGAGAGCGUCCUCUAGGGCCGGCGGGAACUCAGUGUCCCAAAUGCAUGGAUGCUUCGAGCGCCUUUCCCUGGCAGCCCUGCCUACUGCCGCGCUCAGCUCUCCACCCAAUGAUGCACACAUCCCGCCAAAGCAACUGGGCUUCCUGAAAAACCACUGUGCGGAAGGAGCUGCAGUUUGAGGUCCGGCAUGGUGCUUGGAGGCAGCGGGCAGGAUGUAUCCCAUGCUGUGCCAGUGAUGCGAAGCCAUGUCACAACAAAGCCAUGCCCUCCCUGGUAGCCUCGAGAAUGGCUCUGCCAGCACAGAACUUUCCCCAUGUGCACUGUUCCCACGUGCUGUGUGGGAAUGGCAGUGGGAGCUUUGCCAUUGUGGAGGCAGCAAAAUGCUCUUAAUGGGGAUGGUAAAGUUUUGCUACUUUUCCACUUCUGCUGCUAUAAUGGAGAUCCUUAUAAAGGACUGCUCCUCUGUGUUCCCAUAUGCAUCAGUAAAAGCUUUCCUGAGCUCGCCCUGGGCAGAGUAAGCCAGGUUUUACUCAUAAACAGUGCAGAGGAUUUGGGCUCAUGUGGCUGAUGGUGCAGAGGGAAAUUGGGUGACGCUGCCCUGAAUGAUGGGAAGACGGGCAGCAGAUUACCUCCACCACCAAAUCCUCCUGGUGCCUUAAUCUCUGUCAACAUAACCCCCAUUUCAUUCCUCUACACUUGGAGCAUAAUCUAGAGGGUGACAGCUUGGGAGGGCAGGGGAAAGCUGGUCAGUAACAGUAAAGCUUUCACAGAUUGUAUCUCAGUGUUCUUCCAGUAUAAAACAAUAGGGCAAUAAAUAGAAAGGGUUACUCUCAACCCAAACAUUUCGGAUGAGGUUCCCAGCUGAUGCAAUUCAGUACAGCUCUGCUGGAGCUGGUAACCUUUUAGUACAGCUGAUUGCAUGCCAUGAGGUAGAGGGUGCUGGUCCUCUGUGCUCUUAAAGCCAUUUGCAGAGUUUCUCUUUCCCUGAGGACGGGGAAAGCCACUCUCUUUGCCUUUUCUGUCCUGGCUAAGGCCAGGUGCUGCCAUCCUUGGGGUAUUCCUUUCCUCCCAGCACCACUGCUCAGCAGUGGGUGUGCAGGGAGGUGAGCAGCGUGAUCUCCAGUUCUCAGCUGAGAGGCAAAGCAAGGUCAAAAAUGCACCAGCAAAGCUCUUGCGUCAGAGGCAGCCAAGCAUCCCCAGGGUUCUUCCCACUGUUUGCAAGAAGUCCUCACUCCGUACAAGCAGCAAUAGCCAAAUAAGGUGUCGAAACGCAUGGACGCUUCCAUCGGGACAGGGAUGAUACCUACCAGACCUGCUCACAACUCAGCUCCCAGCAUGCUGCUCCUCCUGCCUCUGCUCUGCAGAAACCAGGAUGCUUUUCUAAUGAAAUGAUUCAAUAGGCAUGUUCAAGAAAUCAGUGAUGAAGCUGAGUGGUUCCUUUCCUGUCGUGGGUUGAUUUGGCUUGUUUUGCCCUUUUUUGUUAGGUUUUUUUUUGUUAGUUUUUAAACUGUUCCGUGCAGUUGUUGGAACCAGCUGGCUUUCCUGCUUGGCUGCUCUGGUGCUGCAGGCAAGCUGGUCGGACUGGCUCUUUCCAGGGUGACCAUCCAUGGAAAUGUGCCCUGUGCAUGUGGGUGACUGGAGCAGGAAAAGCAGCACGUCUGAGCACCCAGCCUGUCUCCAUAUACAGAGGCAGAGAGAUUCCCCAAGUCUCUGUGUAAACAAAAGCUCAGUUUCCUCAAAUGCUCCAGCGUGGCAAGAGCAGUGUGCUCCGAUCUGGUGGUGAGCAGCCCCUGCUCGGCCCCUAACACCCCUCCGGUUCUCAAUAUUCCCUGUCUGCAGCUUCCUCCUUAACAAGGGCGACGUUUCAAAAGAAAACCCCCAAAAGGAGAAAUGCAGGCUCUUGUUUUCCCCCCAGCACUUUUUGUUUCUCUAACACCCCCAGCCCGGGUGCUCCCUUACAGCCCACUGCCACUGGUACUGCUCCUCUUCACAUGGGGUUUGCAAACUCUUUACUUCUCCCUGAGUUUUACUCUGAGCUCAUACAUCCCUUCAGCGACCGCGGAGUUGGAGCAUUAUGUGAUCCCUUUGGAAAAAUGCCCCACUAGAAAUAAACAUGGGCAGCGAUGGAAC
ensembl:lncRNA